CAAAAACCGGUCAGCAAUCGGCGAAAACGUUACAUUGGAAGCACAUGUCCUCUACGACGAGUCAUACCGUGAAACACUCAAGAGCGAAAACGGCGAUCCUGCUUCAAGUUCAUCUCACUCAAAGCCAGAAGACGAGUACUUCAACAAAUUGUUUGAAAAGCUUCAAGAGUACCUGCACAAUCACUCAAUCAUGAUCAAUGUGACAGUAAAGCAAGUUGCAGAGGUCGUCAAUCUGACAGUUUUGUCAGGGGAAAAGCACUUGGAUGGUCGUCACACACUGGAAAACCUUACAAAAUACGGAGAGUCUCAGCACACUUCUAACAACUCUGUUUAUUAUCUUUUUACUUGG
rnacentral:lncRNA from 1 species